AACGAACGUUAGCGGCGCGCUUAACACAUGCAAGUCGCACGAGAAAGGGCUUCGGCCCCGGUACAGUGGCGCACGGGUGAGUAACACGUGGGUAAUCUUCCCUCUGGCGGGGGAUAACCUUCCGAAAGGAGGGCUAAUACCGCAUAAGACCACGAGCUCGAAAGGGCUUGAGGUUAAAGCCGGCCUCUAUACAUAAGCUGGCACCAGAGGAUGAGCCCGCGGCCCAUCAGCUAGUUGGCAGGGUAAUGGCCUACCAAGGCUAAGACGGGUAGCUGGU
rnacentral:rRNA from 1 species